AAGUCGAGGGGUAACAGGAGAAAGCUUGCUUUCUCGCUGACGACCGGCGAACGGGUGCGUAACACGUAUGUAACCUACCUAUAACAGGAGAAUAGCCUACUGAAAAGUGGAUUAAUGCUCCAUAAUAUACAUUAAAGGCAUCUUUUUUGUAUUAAAGCUCCGGCGGUUAUAGAUGGACAUGCGGAACAUUAGCUUGUUGGUGAGGUAACGGCUCACCAAGGCAACGAUGUUUAGGGGGUCUUAGAGGAUGAUCCCCCACACUGGUACUGAGACACGGACCAGACUCCUACGGGAGGCAGCAGUGAGGAAUAUUGCGCAAUGGAGGAAACUCUGACGCAGCCAUGCCGCGUGCAGGAAGACGGCCUUAUGGGUUGUAAACUGCUUUUAUAUGCCAAGAAAACCUAGUACGUGUACUAGACUGACGGUAGCAUAUGAAUAAGGAUCGGCUAACUCCGUGCCAGCAGCCGCGGUAAUACGGAGGAUCCAAGCGUUAUCCGGAUUUAUUGGGUUUAAAGGGUUCGUAGGCGGAAAAUUAAGUCAGUGGUGAAAUCCUACAGCUCAACUGUAGAACUGCCAUUGAUACUGGUUUUCUUGAGUACAAAUGAGGUGGGCGGAAUGUGGCAUGUAGCGGUGAAAUGUAUAGAUAUGCCACAGAACACCAAUUGCGAAGGCAGCUCACUAAAAUGUAACUGACGCUGAGGAAACGAAAGCGUGGGGAGCGAACGGGAUUAGAUACCCCGGUAGUUCACGCCGUAAACGAUGAUCACUCGAUGUUGUCAUAUACUGUCAGCCGUCCAACCGAAAGCGUUAAUGCUCCCUCCUGGGGAGUCCGCCGCAAAA
rnacentral:rRNA from 1 species